ACCAGGUAUGGUAGCUUGUGCCUGUAGUCCCAGCUACGCAGGAGGCUGAGGCAGGAGGAGUUCUGAGCUGUAGUGCCCUCUGCUGAUCGGGUGCCUGCACCAAGUUUCAUUCAAUAUGGUGACCUCCUGGGAGCAGGGAACCACCAGGUUGCCUAAGGAGGGAUGAACUGUCCCAGGUCAGAAGUGAAGCAUGUGAUGAUCAGUAGUGGGAUAGUGCCUGUGAAUAGUCACUGCAUUCCCACCUGGGCAAUAUAAUGAGAGCUUGUCUCAA
ensembl:misc_RNA Metazoa_SRP Metazoan signal recognition particle RNA